rnacentral:sRNA from 1 species
GCUACAAAAUUGAUUCAUAUUGUGAAUAAAUGGGCUCUACCAUGUUUCCUUCAUGAGCAGUGUGUAUUCUAUAUGAAUCUACUCCCAGUGCAAGGAACACUAGUCAAUUUUUGGCAUGAGAUGAGAACCUCAGAAUUGCUGCAGCCAUCUUGCUACCAAGGCAGAACAAAUGAGAAAAUCAGUAUGCUAAGGAAGGCAGCUGAGGAAGGAAGAAAAAUCUUGGGUUCCUGUUGACAUUGCUCUGUCCCUGAAAUUUUCUACCUCUGAAUUUCUUGUUAUGAGGCAAUAAACACUCCAAUUCUUUA